rnacentral:rRNA from 1 species
AACGAACGCUGGCGGCGCGCUUAACACAUGCAAGUCGAACGAGAAGGCGUAGCAAUACGCUUGUACAGUGGCGAACGGGUGAGUAAUACGUGGGCGACCUACCCUCGAGUGGGGAAUAACCCGCCGAAAGGCGGGCUAAUGCCGCGUACGCUUCCAUCUUUAUGGAGGUGGAAGGAAAGCCGUGCCGUGGGCACGGCGCUCAAGGAUGGGCUCACGUCCUAUCAGCUUGNGGUAGGGUAACGGCCUACCAAGGCUCCGACGGGUAGCUGGUCUGAGAGGACGAUCAGCCACACUGGCACUGCGACACGGGCCAGACUCCUACGGGAGGCAGCAGUGAGGAAUAUUGCGCAAUGGGCGAAAGCCUGACGCAGCGACGCCGC